rnacentral:rRNA from 1 species
AGUGAACGCUGGCGGUAGGCCUAACACAUGCAAGUCGAACGGCAGCACAGUAAGAGCUUGCUCUUACGGGUGGCGAGUGGCGGACGGGUGAGGAAUACAUCGGAAUCUACUUUUUCGUGGGGGAUAACGUAGGGAAACUUACGCUAAUACCGCAUACGACCUACGGGCGAAAGCAGGGGAUCUUCGGACCUUGCGCGAUUGAAUGAGCCGAUGUCGGAUUAGCUAGUUGGCGGGGUAAAGGCCCACCAAGGCGACGAUCCGUAGCUGGUCUGAGAGGAUGAUCAGCCACACUGGAACUGAGACACGGUCCAGACUCCUACGGGAGGCAGCAGUGGGGAAUAUUGGACAAUGGGCGCAAGCCUGAUCCAGCCAUACCGCGUGGGUGAAGAAGGCCUUCGGGCUGUAAAGCCCUUUUGUUGGGAAAGAAAAGCAGCAGGUUAAUACCCCGCUGUUCUGACGGUACCCAAAGAAUAAGCACCGGCUAACUUCGUG